UCCUAUUUUCUAGGUUUUUUCUUCUUUUGAUUGAUAUAGAAGGGGUUUCGUUGUGUUGACUGUUGACUUGACUUUUCUGUAUAGAUUUGUAGUGACCCGCACCGCGCCACCGCGACACUGUUUGGUUUGUGUUGACUGUGUGCGUAGAGACUGGAGAGGUUGGGAGAGUGAGAGAGAGAGAUCGAGAUCCAUGGCGGAGGGGGUGCUUGCUUCGGUGCUGGCGAAGUUCGGGUCCUCGGUUUGGGGAGAGCUCACGCUGCUGAGGAGCUUCAGGACUGACCUGAGGGCCAUGGAGGACGAGUUCGCCACCAUCCGGAGCGUGCUCGCGGACGCCGAGGUGCGCGGCGGCAGCGGCGACAGCGCCGUCCGCGACUGGCUGCGCAGGCUCAAGAACCUCGCCCACGACAUCGACGACUUCCUCGACGCCUGCCACUCGGACCUGCGCGCCGCCCGCCGCCGUCGGAGCCGGGGCAACCCGGCGUGCGGCUCCGCGGCCACCUGCAUCGUCAGCUCCGUCGUCAUGGCGCACAGGCUGAGGUCCCUGAGGCGCAAGCUGGACGCCAUCGCCGCCGGGAGGGACAGGCUCCGCUUGAAUCCCAACGUUUCUCCGCCGGCGCAACCGGUCGCUCCCCCGAAGCGCGAGACCAUCUCGAAGGUCGACGAGGCCAAGACGGUGGGGAGGGCCGCGGACAAAGAGAAGCUCAUGAAGAUUGUCCUUGACGCGGCGAGCGAGGAGGACGUGUCCGUGAUCCCCAUCGUCGGCUUCGGCGGCCUCGGCAAGACGACGCUCGCGCAGCUGGUGUUCAACGACCGGAGGGCCAACGACGAGGUGUUCGACCUCCGGAUCUGGGUCUCCAUGUCCGUGGAUUUCAGCCUCAGAAGGCUGAUCCAGCCGAUCGUGAGCGCGACCAAGCGGAAGCGCGAUCUGACCAGCUUGGAGGAAAUUGCAAACUUCUUGUCCGAGACGUUCACGGGGAAGAAGUACCUGCUGGUUCUUGAUGAUGUGUGGAGCGAGAACCAGGACGAGUGGGAGCGUCUGAAGCUUCUCCUCAAGGAUGGCAAGCGAGGCAGCAAGAUCAUGGUGACCACACGGAGCCGCAAGGUUGGCAUGAUGGUGCGCACCGUGCCGCCAUUCGUUCUCGAAGGCCUCUCCGAUGAUGAUUGUUGGGAGCUGUUCAAGGGAAAGGCUUUUGAGGAAGGGGAGGAGGAUCUGCAUCCCAAGCUGGUCAGGUUAGGGAAGGGGAUUGUCCAGAAAUGCGGCGGCGUGCCGUUGGCCGCCAAGGCUCUUGGGAGCAUGCUGCGGUUCAAGAGGAAUGAGGAAUCAUGGAUUGCUGUCAAGGACAGUGAGAUAUGGCAGCUGGACAAGGAGAACACAAUUUUGCCGUCUCUCAAGCUUACCUAUGACCAAAUGCCACCUGGUCUGAAGCAGUGCUUCGCCUAUUGUGCAUCACUUCCAAGAAACUAUGAGAUUAACAGGGACAAGCUCAUUCAGCGAUGGAUUGCUCUUGGCUUCAUUGAGCCCACAAAGUAUGGCUGCCAAUCGGUUUUCGAUCAAGCCAACGACUAUUUCGAGCACUUGCUGUGGAUGUCUUUCCUUCAAGAAGUAGUGGAGCACGAUUUAUCAAAGAAAGAACUAGAAGAAGAUCGCAAUGUCAAGUACAAGAUUCAUGACUUGGUGCAUGACCUUGCUCAGUCUGUUGCCGGGGAUGAAGUCCAGAUCGUCAACUCCAAGAAUGCCAAUGUGCGCGCCGAAGCAUGCUGCCACUAUGCAUCGUUGGGUGAUGACAUGGGUCCCUCUGAAGUUCUCCGGAGCACACUUCGUAAAGCCCGCGCAUUGCAUUCCUGGGGUUAUGCUCUUGAUGUUCAGUUGCUUCUUCACUCCAGGUGCUUGAGAGUACUAGAUUUGCGAGGCAGCCAAAUUAUGGAGCUUCCCAAGUCAGUUGGUAGAUUAAAACACUUGAGGUACUUGGACGUCUCCUCAUCCCCUAUCACAAGUCUGCCCAAUUGCAUCAGUAACCUCCUCAACCUGCAAACUCUCCAUUUAUCCAAUUGUGGCAAUCUGUAUGUGCUUCCCAGAGCAAUAUGCAGUCUUGAGAAUCUAGAAACCUUGAAUCUUUCCUGUUGCCACUUUCAGACCUUACCAGAUUCCAUAGGGUAUCUUCAAAACCUGCAAAAUCUGAACAUGUCAUUUUGCAGUUUCCUCUGUACAUUACCCAGCUCCAUCGGUGACCUCCAAAGUUUGCAGUACUUGAAUUUUAAAGGGUGUGUCAAUCUUGAGACUCUGCCUGACACCAUGUGCAGACUGCAAAAUUUGCAUUUCUUGAACCUCUCACGGUGUGGAAUUCUCCGAGCACUGCCCAAAAAUAUUGGGAAUCUCUCAAAUUUGUUGCAUCUGAAUUUAUCGCAAUGCAGUGAUCUUGAGGCAAUCCCGGAUUCGAUAGGCUGCAUUACAAGGCUGCAUACUCUGGAUAUGUCUCACUGUAGCAACUUGUUGGAGUUACCUCGAUCCAUUGGUGGCCUUCUGGAGCUUCAAACUCUCAUUUUAUCACAUCAUGCACGGAGUUUGGCAUUGCCCAUAGCAACCAGUCACCUACCAAACUUGCAGACUUUGGAUCUCUCAUGGAAUAUUGGCUUGGAGGAAUUGCCCGAAUCAAUUGGUAACCUCCAUAAUUUGAAGGAGCUUCUUUUGUUCCAGUGCUGGAAUCUCCGUAAGCUACCUGAGUCUAUCACAAACCUCAUGAUGUUGGAGAGGUUGAGCCUUGUUGGGUGUGCACAUCUGGCCACGCUACCUGACGGCUUGACAACCAUCACUAAUCUGAAGCACCUAAAAAAUGACCAGUGCCCAUCUUUGGAGAGACUACCUGAUGGAUUUGGGCAAUGGACUAAGCUUGAAACAUUAUCCUUGCUCGUUAUAGGCGACACAUACAGCAGCAUUGCGGAGCUAAAAGACCUUAAUCUUCUGAGUGGCUGUCUUAAAAUUGAGUGCUGCUCACACAAGAAGGAUUUAACAAACGAUGCCAAGAGAGCAAACUUGAGGAAUAAGAGGAAACUAAGCAACUUGACUGUGUCAUGGACCAGUUCAUGCUCUUCUGAUGAGCUGAAGAACGUCGAAACAUUUCUUGAAGUUCUCUUGCCACCUGAAAACCUUGAGGUCCUUGAAAUAUAUGGCUACAUGGGCGCUAAAUUUCCUAGCUGGAUGGUGGAGAGCAUGGAAUGCUGGCUUCCAAACAUUACCUUCCUAAGUUUGGCCAACAUCCCUAACUGUAUAUGCCUCCCACCUCUUGGUCAUAUUCCUAAUCUCCAUUCUCUCGAGCUCCGCUGCAUUAGUGGUGUCCGUAGCAUUGAACCUGAAAUACUUGCCAAGGGACAGAAAAACACAUUGUACCAGUCACUCAAGGAACUCCAUUUUGAAGACAUGCCUGAUUUGGAGAUCUGGCCAACCUCAUUGGCAGGGGAUAGUGAAGAAAGUCAACAAAAGGUUUUCAUGUUUCCAGUUCUCAAAACUGUCACUGUAAGUGGAUGUCCAAAGAUGAGACCAAAACCAUGCCUCCCAGAUGCUAUAUCAGAUUUGUCACUAUCCAACAGCAGUGAGAUGUUAUCAGUUGGUAGGAUGUUCGGGCCAUCAUCUUCGAAAUCGGCAUCACUUCUUAGGAGGUUGUGGGUUAGAAAGUGCCAUGCAUCAUCGUGUGAUUGGAACUUACUGCAGCACAGGCCAAAACUUGAGGAUCUAACCAUUGAGUACUGCGAACGGCUACGUGUUUUGCCAGAGGCCAUCAGACACCUUAGCAUGGUCCGGAAGCUGAAGAUCGAUAAUUGUACUGAUUUGGAAGUCCUUCCGGAAUGGCUAGGUGAUCUCGUAGCGCUUGAAUAUCUGGAGAUAAGCUGCUGCCAAAAGUUGGUCUCGUUGCCAGAAGGUUUGCGAUCCUUAACUGCACUCGAGGAGUUGAUUGUCAGUGAUUGUGGCACUUCACUGACUGAAAACUGUAGAAAAGAGAUAGGCAAGGAUUGGUUCAAGAUCUGCCAUAUCCCAAGUAUCCUCAUCUCGUGACAGCAAGAACAGAGGUCAUUCUCCAAGGAUUCAAGUGCAACACAUGUGCAUGAAUAACAUACCUGAAUGAAGGUACUGUUUGUUACCUAUUCAAAAGGUAUAUAAACAAUGGGCAAUAGAGCUUUAGAUGGAGUCCCCGACAUCACCCUCUCCCUAGGGGGACAUGGGCAGCAACCUCACCGCCCCACCGAACAACCGUUCAAUGUCUUCUCCCUCUCGCCGUCGCGAGCAAAGCCCGUGCGGAGCCGACAACAACAUGAUAUGUUGACUGCUUCGUGUUGUGCGCGCUUUGCGGGCUGGUGAUCUCGCAACGACAAGUGGUUUGCUGUAUGGAUGGCUGGUGUUGUCGGUCCCGAUGGUGUUGGCGACAGCUGGAACGACAGCUGGAAUAGCCACGAUGGUGUGUUGGCGGCGGUGGUUGCGGCUCGGUGCUUGGAGGUUGUCUAGAUCGGGUGGAAUUUUGUGGUUUGCCUUAUUUUAUUUUCUCUAGAUUUGUUUGAAAUUUAGGAUUGCAUUUUUACACCAUUGUAGAUACGUGUUGUAUCUCUUUUUUUAGGGGAAGAUACACGUUGUAUCUAAAUGUGCACAAAGUUUCACAAACAAAAUUCAUGAAGAUACGAUCUGAGACGAAAA